GGGUUUUGCAGAAACGGAGAAACUACACCUAUAAAUAUACAUAAGUCCCUCCUUCAGAGAUCUUCCUGGAGAAGUCGGCGAUCAGAAUCAGAUUGAAGUAACUGAAUCAGAGAAAAAGAGAAAGCGUGAUCAACGAAGAUGAGAGCUAAGUGGAAAAAGAAGCGUAUGAGGAGGCUGAAGAGGAAGCGUAGAAAGAUGAGGCAGAGAUCCAAGUAGGCAGAAGGAUGGGUGCACAAUGAGCUCUCACCUGAUGUGCCUUUAUGCCUUUCUGUCAUGUACAGCAUGAGCUUGUGAGGGAUGAAGGUUUUUCAAUUGUGGAAGCAUCAUAUGUUUCUGUCUUUUAGCUCUAGGGGUUGUAAUUGCUAUUAAGACUAGCUUUUGGCAUUUGGUUACUGGCAUUUAUCUCUAGCUGUACUGCUAGGAACUAUGCUGGUUUACACUUAUAUCGUUGAAUUGUAUCAGAAUUACUUACUUUAAUGUGGCUUUGAAUCACUCUUGAAGCUUUUCUAUAAAUGGAUGACACCAUUUGAAUA